UACAGAGGUCUCAAGCGUUGUUCGGAUUCAUUGGGCGUAAAGGGUGCGUAGGCGGCGCGGUUAGUCGGGUGUGAAAUCUCGGGGCUUAACUCCGAAACUGCAUUCGAUACUGCCGUGCUUGAGGACUGGAGAGGAGACUGGAAUUACGGUGUAGCGGUGAAAUGCGUAGAUAUCGUAAGGAAGACCAGUGGCGAAGGCGGGUCUCUGGACAGUCCUGACGCUGAGGCACGAAGGUCAGGGG
rnacentral:rRNA from 1 species